AUACAAUAUGUGUCUAGCUCUAUAAACAAAGAUUACAGGUCUGUGCUGUAUCCUACUUCUACCUGGAAUAAAUUACUUAUCAUAUGCAGCUUUCUACAAACACACUGAGUAAUUGCCAACUACCAUCAUUUUUUACUCCAAAAAAGUUGUCAGUUAUUUUUUUUUCAUAAAAAUAAAAUACAUCUCUGCUGACAGAAAUUGCAACAUUCCUAUAUUUAAGAAUCAAAUUAGUUGAUAGUCUAAUAAACCAGAAUGAAAACACCUGAAGCUCAUCAGAAACCUUACCUAAGUGACUGCAAUUAACAUUCUAAUUAAUAUGUGCAGUAUGCAUGCAUGAAGCUCGAAGAUGUCCAGUAUGUUUUGUCUUCCAUGUGGAAAUGUGAAAAAUUUCCCAAGUAUAUAAAAGUAUGUUUUGAUGAAUAAAAUCAGUGACUGAACAGAUAUAUUUUCUUUUUUUUUUUUAUUCAUCUAUUUCACUUUUUAAAAGAAUUUAUAUAUAUUUUAAAAUUGACAAAAUUUUAAAAUUGAAAACGUAUCUCCUAAAAAUGGGUAAAAUGAAACAUUUCACCCCCAGGUAAUUUCUAAAGAAAUGAAUACAGCAAAUAAAAGAAAUGUGACAUCACCAUACAAACAGAUUUUUUUCCUUCACUGGAAAGAUUUGAAUUCAGAGGUUUUGAAACCAAGACUAUCAGUCUCAACCUUAUCAUGUUCUUAUCCUCUAGUUACAGCAUAUCCAGUGUCAGUUGCUCUCAACCUUUCCUGCUGACAAAAUAAUUCAGCACAAAUAGUUAAACUCUCAGGUGAGGAUAUCAGCUACAAGGUUAAGGAGUCAUGUUAAUCUGUUUGCUCAUGGGUUCAAUUAAUACAUAAGUACAUUGUAUAUUCCCAGCAGGCAAUGUUGCAGCUAUCUUAAUUCUGAAUACUCUGAAGCCUUUUUUUUUUUUUUGUAGUUUGCUGAGGACAAGAGGUAUUGUGUCAAAUUCCUUCUCUGAAUAAGGAGGCUUCAUUCAUCACACAGAAAGGGAAGGCUGUAUAAACAUAGAUGUAGGAGACAGUCCCACCUUGGUCUCCACAGUACACCUGUUUACCUGGAAGAACUGCUGUGUGCAGAGAAGGCUGUGACAGCUAGAAGAGGCCUCAAAAGAGUAUCUAAUAUGCACUUGUGAGUGUACAUUUGAAGCAGAACCAUCAAGAAGCAGCGGGACUAUCGGGGAAUGUGCCAAAUGCACACAGUGCCAGUAUUUGAGGCUGAAAAGAGGAACAUCCUCAUUGUGCUGCAAUCACAGAUCAUCCAGAAAAGUAACAGCUGUGUUUUAUGAACAAUCCAAACCCUGUUUCAAAUCCUGAAGGCAUCUGACUGCCAGUGGGUUUCCUCCUGUCACUGAAACUGUUCAUUUCCAUAAAUCAGCAGCAACUUGAAAGCGCACAAAAGCCUUCACAGCAUUCAUUUGCAACAUCCUUUCUGGUGUAAAAUCUCUAUUUUAUGCUAGUUUUUUUUUUUUUUAACAUAUUAUUACUCUUUUUUUUUUUCCUGUUGAUUCUGUGAUUGAUAAUAGAACUUGCUUCUGCUGAGUGUAUUCAUAUUAGGAAAAAUCUUUUUAAGAUGAAAAAUUUCUAGCAAUUAAGAAAAUAAGAUUCUAGAUUCUUAUUUUCCUUCAAACGUGUUGUACCUGAGAGGGAAGACACUAAUUAGACUCUCUCCUAUUAGCACUGAAAUAUGACAGGGAUUCAGAGGCUGUAGUUUGAUUUUUAACAGAGCUAGACUGGAAAAAUAAAUUUCAUUUGAAAACUGAAACCUUUGGCCUCAACUGUCCUGGAGAACUGUUGGAUGAAUUUGGAUAAAAGUUUGCUAAAAUUGAUCUUAUCAAGGGAGGACGUACAGGAUAUUUCCCCAUGUGGGAAAUCAAAGGUGUGAUUGCUUCUUCUGCGCAGUUGAAACUGGAAGAAAGAGAUUGGUCAGUUAGAGGUCAUAUACUUACCACAUCACUUAUUUAUAUUCAUAUACAUAUAGGAGUAUUUUGUUAGAAUUUUCUGUUUCUUAUUAAAAAAUUGUUAUUAAAAAAACAUACCUUG
rnacentral:lncRNA from 7 species